UGCCAGGGACUAUGGACUGGGGAAGGACGAACCCCGCCAGGGCAGGAAUGCAGCAACGGCACUCCGCUCCCCUUUGCCGUAGCUCUCUGGCCUUU
rnacentral:SRP_RNA from 1 species